AACGAACGCUGGCGGCAGGCCUAACACAUGCAAGUCGAACGCCCCGCAAGGGGAGUGGCAGACGGGUGAGUAACGCGUGGGAACAUACCCAGUGGUACGGCACAACCCAGGGAAACUUGGGCUAAUACCGUAUACGACCCCAGGGGGGAAGAUUUAUCGCCAUUGGACGGGCCGGCGUUGGAUUAGCUAGUUGGUGGGGUAAUGGCCUACCAAGGCAACGAUCCAUAGCUGGUCUGAGAGGAUGAUCAGCCACACUGGGACUGAGACACGGCCAGACUCCUACGGGAGGCAGCAGUGGGGAAUCUUGGACAAUGGGCGCAAGCCGGGUACAGCCAUGCCGCGUGGGUGAAGAAGGCCCUAGGGUUGUAAAGCUCUUUCGGCAGGGACGAAAAUGACGGUACCCGCAGAAGAAGCCCCGGCUAACUCCGUGCCAGCCGCCGCAGUAAGAC
rnacentral:rRNA from 1 species